GCAUAUCCCUCUGCUCUGUUUGCUUCUUCAGUUACGAUUCGCACCGCCGCCGUUUAGGCCGUGUCUCCUACCGGCGCCGACCACCAUGAAAUGCAAGCAGACUUGUGGCAAGGCUGUGCCACUGAGUACUAGGAACUAUUGCUCUGUAGGGGGGCAGAUGUUCCAGUCAAUGAUGUGCAUGCUUUCAGCAUCGGGAAAACAACAUUCAUGUGUGGAAUAUGUUGGCUCCAAGUAUGGGUUGCCCCUCACAUGACAUGCAAAAUUAACGACCAGAUGGCUGGGCCUACAGAUUCCGGAGCAGAAACAUGAUCAUCUUGACAUUAGGGGAAUCAUGUGUGUUAGCAGUUGGCAUGAGUAAUGUAAUACUACAGGCAAUAUGUGCCUUUUGGUUUUAGGAGUAACACCCUGUUGAGUUUAGCACAUCAGAACUAUAAUUGUUGUUACAUAUAUGUGCAAUUUCCUGACCAGCUUGCAUUGUGUUUUGUCAAUCUCAAAGAUCGUACUGCUGUUGUUUGCUUUACUAGACAACAACAUGCUUUCUGAAGG